rfam:Gossypium raimondii Chr09_contig_1775, whole genome shotgun sequence.
GGUUAAAAAUUUCAUUCGUUUUUACAAUUAAAAAAUGGUGUGGUUGGUGAAAUAACCAGACAAUCACAUGUGGCAUGCCAUGCGUACCUCCUACUGACAUAGAGGGGGUAGUUUUUAAUUGUAAAAAUAGAUAGAAUUUUUAACA